ensembl:rRNA 5S_rRNA 5S ribosomal RNA
GUCUACGGCCAUACCACCCUGAACGCGCCCGAUCUCGUCUGAUCUCGGAAGCUAAGCAGGGUCAGGCCUGGUUAGUACUUGGAUGGGAGAAAUGCUUGGUCACAAGUUGGGUGAGCACAGAGCACAGCUGGAGACC